GCCAUUUUCCUCUUAAGACUUUCUGAAAUAAGUGUACAUAAAUAUUUCAUUGUUUAAUAGUAAAGCUUGGACAAAUAAAACAGACUUUUAUUUUGAAAUACUAGAAGCCUUAUUUCGAGUGCUUGAAGAUACAUUGCGCCAAACUACAAGAUUUGCAUUAAUGCAUGUAAAUAAAUAAAAUAUAUGGCCAUAAUAAUGUAUAAAUAUUACAUAGUAUUCAUGUGACGAGACGUAGCAGGAGAUAUAUCAAAUAACGCGAAGCCUUAAUGUAAGACUUUUAUCUUGAAACACGUGAGGCCAUUUUCCGGCGGUGUUUUUGGGGAAUCUAACGAGUGCUCAUGUGAACUGUCAUUCUCAUAGACAUAAACAGUAUCAUCUAAAUUAAUUUACCUGAUUAACAUAACUGCAUUAUAAAAAGUAGAAAUAAUGUGCAUUAAUAUUAUACAUAUUAAUGCACGAAUGAAUGUUUGUUGUCAUAAAAACGCAUGAGUGAUUGAAGUUAGUUGUUAUAUUUUGUAACGAGGUAACGUUACGAUAAAGUAUGGAGAAGGUCCGAAGGAUUCUGGUGUAUUUGUCGAAGGAAAACGCCGCACCGCAGUGCGCACGAUUCGUGCAGAGCAUAACUGGACAUUUUGUAGGGGAUGUUGAGGACCAGGCGACAGUGAGCUGUUCCCUGGACAAUAACCGAUUUAUUUUAAGUGACCAGCUGUAUGGAGGAAUCCCUCUGAAGAGGGCGCCAUUUUGCCCCAUCAAAUACCUGUCUCACUCAGAGGCAGCCUCCCUGCCCCCAGAUACCCUCAAUCGUGGGGUAGACGUGGGCGUUGCAGUUCUGCUGCAGUCAGCCAAUCAGAGGCUGUUGCUAACGCGUCGAGCCUCCAGUCUUCGGAUCUUCCCCAAUGUUUGGGUUCCACCUGGUGGCCAUGUGGAGCUGGAUGAAAAGCUGCUGGAUGCAGGACUCAGAGAGCUACAAGAAGAGACCGGUCUGAAACUGAGUCCUGAUCAGAUUUCCACUCAGCUUCUUGGCUUGUGGGAGUCAGUGUAUCCACCUAUGUUGUCCAGAGGUUUGCCACAGAGACAUCACAUUGUGACCUACAUACUUUUGAAGAGCUCUAUAUCGCACCUGCAGCUUCAGGCCAGUUUGAGACCAGAUCCUGCUGAGGUUAGUGGUUGUGUUUGGGUUGAUGCUGGUCUGGUUAAAGCCAUAGUAUCUGCUGUGGACGGUGAAGAGAAUUCUGUACAAGUACCGGCUGACAUGCCAUCUACCAUCAGUGUAACGGAAGUGUCAAUACGAGGUGAUUUGGAAGAGACCUCGCAGCCCAUUUCUGUGUUCUGUAAUCAGGCUCCAGACCACGGCGAGGAAAUAGAGCGAGUCAGUACAGGAACCAAAUAUGCCUUAGAGCUGUGGUUAAAAACGUUGGAGCCUCACACUGAGAUGGGCUGAUGGCUCCUGUCUCAUGUGAACAUUUACCCAGUGCCUUCAGAAGACUGGAGCUUUGUCAGCAUUGCACGGCCCUUUUCGUUUAUGUCUUAAGUCGGCAUUUAAAUCAAAUUGUUUUCAUCAAAACAGUUGUUGCAAAAAUCAUCCUUGGAAUUUCUUUAUAAUUAUAAAGGAAACAAUGUCUCCGUCGAUCACAAGAGGGCGUUUUAGUCACAGUGUUCCCUAUGCAAAACCAAAAAAAUGAAAGUUUGUUUAAAAUGUUGGUUCACAUUAAACUUGUAUGAAUACACUUUUUAUGUGUUUCCCCACUUUAAAAAGUUUUACAUAGUUUUUUUAAACAGGUGAACAGAUGUUUUGACAAAUGCUUAGAAUGAUGUACACUGAAUUAAUAUGGUUAUCUAAAAGUUACUCUAAGACAAUUUUGGUUGCAGAAUAAAUGAACUAUGGGUAACAAAUACACCUGUUUUACUUCAUUAGUUACUGUUAUUUGUCAAACACAACAGAGACCACUGACUUGGCCCACCUAAACACAUCUCAGUGUGUUUUGGCAGCAGAAGUUAUUCCUUGCUUCAUUUUCAUCCUUAUUCUUACUCUACACAUAUUUUUAGGGCUGCUUGUUCACAAAAAUACUAAUAGCUCAUUAACUUCCUAAAUAAUAAUAAGUUCUGACAUUAUUAUUUGUUAAAACAUUAAUAGUAACUUACUAGAUGUACUUAAUAAUCCAUGCCAAGAUGGUUAUUUGCCUUUGUCACAUCUGUUGACAAAUUAUUUUUCUAUUGCUCAGGAACACUUGUAUUCAGCCAGGGAUUUUUUUGGGGGAUGCUUGAGUGUUUUAUUGUUGCUUUCUGGUCUAAGUUGUACGAGCCUGACUCAAAGUACUAUCAUAAUCUAGUCCAGGGGUUUUCAAACUGUGGGUUGGGACCCAGUAGUGGGUUGCACAGUGCGGUCAGGUGGGUCUCGCAAACUUACUUGGUUGUUGUAGUGAAUGAAACAAAAACAUUUUUGUUUUAUUAAUGACAGUUAAUGGCAAUGG